rnacentral:rRNA from 1 species
UACAGAGGGUGCGAGCGUUAAUCGGAAUUACUGGGCGUAAAGGGCUCGUAGGCGGCCAACUGAGUCAGACGUGAAAUCCCUCGGCUUAACCGGGGAACUGCGUCUGAUACUGGAUGGCUUGAGUUUGGGAGAGGGAUGCGGAAUUCCAGGUGUAGCGGUGAAAUGCGUAGAUAUCUGGAGGAACACCGGUGGCGAAGGCGGCAUCCUGGACCAACACUGACGCUGAGUGAGCGAAAGCCAGGGGAGCAAACGGG